CGGGAAAAGCUCAAAUUUAAAAUCUGGCGGCCUUUGGUCGCCCGAGUUGUAGUCUGGAGAAGCGUUUUCCGCGCCGGACCGUGUACAAGUCUCCUGGAACGGAGCGUCGUAGAGGGUGAGAAUCCCGUCUUUGACACGGACUGCCGGUGCUUUGUGAUGCGCUCUCGAA
rnacentral:rRNA from 1 species